UACGUAGGGUGCGAGCGUUAAUCGGAAUUACUGGGCGUAAAGCGCGUGUAGGCGGUCCGGUAAGUCCGCUGUGAAAGUCGAGGGCUCAACCCUCGAAUGCCGGUGGAUACUGUCGGGCUUGAGUACGGGAGAGGCGAGUGGAAUUCCUGGUGUAGCGGUGAAAUGCGCAGAUAUCAGGAGGAACACCGAUUGCGAAGGCAGCUCGCUGGAACGUUACUGACGCUGAGACGCGAAAGCGUGGGGAGCAAACAGG
rnacentral:rRNA from 1 species